rnacentral:misc_RNA from 1 species
CCGAGUUAUCAACUCCCAAACCCCUGUGAACUAUCUCUAUACGUUGCCUCGGCGGAUCAGCUACCGCGGCCCUCGGACAAGGGACGGCCCGCCGGAGGACAACCUAAACUCUGUUAUCUUAGUGACUAUCUGAGGUACUAUAAUAAGUCA